rnacentral:lncRNA from 1 species
UAUCAAUUAUGAGCAUUUUUGUGUGACCUACAUGUUAGUAUCACUUUUAUCCAUAUUAGAGUUCAUUAGCUUGAUCAUCAAGAGCUCUAAAUUAGCUAAGAAAAUAAAGUUGUUUUUCAGUUUUUCACUUAACAUAACUUAGCAUUUUAUGAUUUUCGUAGGAAUUAAUCCACGCAUUAUCUGAAACAGGUCCACAGGAACAAAAUGAAGCUUCUUACGUCUACUUUCUGUUCAUAUAUUUUUUUACUCAUGUUAGGACUCGUCUUAUCGCUGUUUUGUUGUUGUCAAAAGACGUAGUCAACGUAGCAACAACAAAGCUAGCUACUGCUAUAGUACCUGAAUGUUACUGUGGUAGCAGCAGUACAGGCAGAGCAGCAGUUGUAGGCAGCAAGCAGCAACGGCAAUGGAGCAGCAACAACAGCAAGCACCGCGGGGUAGCAGCAGCUAGGCAGCAGGGGGCGGUGA